rnacentral:rRNA from 1 species
GACGAAGGGUGCGAACGUUGAUCGGAAUCACUGGGCUUAAAGGGCGCGUAGGCGGCUUACCAAGUCCGGGGUGAAAGCUUUCGGCUCAACCGGAAAAGUGCCUUGGAUACUGGUAGGCUUGAGUGAGGUAGGGGCAUGCGGAACUUCCGGUGGAGCGGUGAAAUGCGUUGAUAUCGGAAGGAACGCCGGUGGCGAAAGCGGCGUGCUGGACCUCUUCUGACGCUGAGGCGCGAAAGCUAGGGGAGCGAACGGG